rnacentral:tRNA from 1 species
UCCCUGGUGGUCCAGUGGCUAAGAUCUUGUGCUCCCAAUGCAAAGGCCCAUGUUCAAUCCCUGGUCAGGGAA